GAGGGGGGGGCGAUCUUGCAAUAAAUAAAUAAUUAAAGGAACCUGCUGCUGCUGCUGGGGUUCGCCUCCUGCCGGGGAAGGGAGGCGGGUUUGAAGCGCUCCCGCACGUCUGGAGGGGGGCGAGCUUGUCUCAGACAGGUGAUGGGCGUUUCGGCUGCGCUCCGGAUUGACUCCUUGGGUUUCACUUUGGUCUGAUCUAAGCAAAUAUGCAGAAGUACCGGCUGAUCUAGUCCUAAAGCCAAGAGGAGCGCGCGAGAGAGCAGCAGAAGCGGAGCUCCUCUAGCAAAGGGAACAUACAAACCCCCCCACCACACCUCAACGUGGACGAAGAGCCGCACGCCUCACCCGUGUCUUUCCCCGAGGGAUGGUACUGAAUUCUCCAGCCACAGGAGCCGGGCUGAAGCUCCGACACAGCACCCUUGCCUUUGAUUCGUGCCCCAAGUGUAUUAGAACGCGAUGAGGACCUGGGCUUGCAUUUUGCUGAUAGGUUUUUGCUACCUUCCCUUCGCGUUUCCCGAGGAAGCUGAAAUCCCCCAGGAGCUAAUCGAGAGACUGGCUCACAGCGAAAUCCACAGCAUCCGCGAUUUGCAGCGCCUCCUGGAGAUUGAUUCCGUAGGAUAUGACGAUGUUUCAGAAACAAACUUGAGAUCUCAUAGUGUUCAUUCUGCUAAACAUGUCCAAGAAAAUCACCCUGUACCCAUUCGCAGAAAAAGAAGCAUCGAGGAAGCCAUUCCUGCCGUCUGCAAAACAAGAACUGUUAUAUAUGAGAUACCUCGGAGUCAGAUCGAUCCCACGUCUGCUAAUUUCCUGAUAUGGCCACCGUGCGUGGAGGUGAAACGUUGUACUGGCUGUUGCAACACCAGCAGCGUGAAAUGCCAGCCGUCACGGAUACAUCACAGAAGUGUCAAGGUGGCAAAAGUGGAAUAUGUUAGAAAAAAGCCAAAAUUAAAAGAAGUUCUGGUGAGGUUAGAAGAGCAUAUGGAAUGCACCUGUACAUCAUCAAAUUCUAAUUCAGAUUAUCGAGAAGAAGAAACUGGUGAAAAGCUUGUGUGUACGUGAGAAAAAUGGAAUGUCAGUUCAAAAUCAGGCGUGUGAAGGAAAUGAUCAGAAUGGCAGAAGACAAUGAUUCAUAUCCAUAGUUAUAGAUUAACAGGUAUUUAUUGGGAGUAGUAUGAUAGAAGCAAAGAUUUUGUAAAAUUCAACUUUAAAAGUCAGCAUGUAAACUCAAUCAAAACAGCAUUUAGAACUUCUUGUCCCAGAUGUAAGGUGAAAUAAGCUAGAAAAAAAAAAAAAAGAACUUCUCUCUGGGACAUGGAUGUACAUGGUUUGUUACAUUCCUGAACCUACUAUGUAUGGUGCUUUAUUGACUGUAUACUUUAUUUGUUCUCCUAUGUGAAAAAAACUGGCUGAAAAGAACACUUAAUGAGAACAAAGAGACAAUGUACAUUUGUUUAAUGUGACAUCAAAGCAAGUAUUGUAGCACUCUGUGAAACAAUAGGAAGCUUCCCUGUCCAAAAAAACACAAAACAACGAAACAAACAAAGAAAAUAAAAAGACAGUUGAAUGAAUGGAGGAUACCAAAAGUACAAAACAAAAAACAAAAAUAAAAGAGGAAGAAGAAGAAGAAAAAAAAAGA